UACGGAGGAUCCAAGCGUUAUCCGGAAUCAUUGGGUUUAAAGGGUCCGUAGGUGGGCCGUUAAGUCAGAGGUGAAAUCCUGCAGCUCAACUGUAGAAUUGCCUUUGAUACUGGCGGCCUUGAAUCAUUGUGAAGUGGUUAGAAUAUGUGGUGUAGCGGUGAAAUGCAUAGAUAUCACAUAGAAUACCGAUUGCGAAGGCAGAUCACUAACAAUGGAUUGACACUGAUGGACGAAAGCGUGGGGAGCGAACAGG
rnacentral:rRNA from 1 species